rnacentral:rRNA from 1 species
UACAGAGGUCCCGAGCGUUGUUCGGAUUUAUUGGGCGUAAAGGGUGCGUAGGUGGCAAAGUAAGUUGGAUGUGAAAUCCUGGGGCUUAACCUCAGAAUUGCAUUCAAUACUGCUUAGCUAGAGAGCUGUAGAGGAGACUGGAAUUUACGGUGUAGCAGUGAAAUGCGUAGAUAUCGUAAGGAACACCAGUGGCGAAAGCGGGUCUCUGGACAGUUCCUGACGCUGAGGCACGAAGGUCAGGGGAGCAAACGGG